UACGUAGGGGGCGAGCGUUGUCCGGAAUCAUUGGGCGUAAAGCGCGUGUAGGCGGCUCGGUAAGUCCGGUGUGAAACCUUGGGGCUCAACCCCAAGCCUGCACUGGAUACUGUCGAGCUCGAGUCCGGGAGGGGAGAGCGGAAUUCCUAGUGUAGCGGUGAAAUGCGCAGAUAUUAGGAAGAACACCGGUGGCGAAGGCGGCUCUCUGGAACGGUACUGACGCUGAGACGCGAAAAGCGUGGGGGAGCGAACAGG
rnacentral:rRNA from 1 species